rnacentral:lncRNA from 1 species
UUGUCGCCCAAGUGUUUGUGAUUGCUUCUAGCUUAUUGGUUCAACAAAUUUCUGCAGGGUGUUUCUCGGGUUAUUUUUGUUCCUGAAUUCUAAAACUGAGGAUCCCAAUGGCUGCUCAAAGGUUAGUUUAGUCGAAUUUCAUAUUUUAUUCCAUAGUCAGUGUGUUCAUACGAUUGCUUACUUUCCAUUUUUAUCUGUUCGUAAAUAUUCAUGACAUGCUACUGUCCACUAUUAUUUUCGCUAUAUAUAUGCAUGAUGCAUCAGGUUAUUUAGGACGGUAGAUCCUUAGAUGCAUGCAUAAUCUUGUUGUACACAGUCUUAGUUUGUUCCUAUAUGAAAAAUGACAUAUAUAAUGUCUGUACAGUUCUUUGAAAGAAGAAAGGAUUGUUGAAUGUUUGGUGCUUCCAGUAUGUGCCUGAUUGUGGAGGAGAUGUUGGAGAUGGGGAUGUGGCUUCUCCUACUUCAGAAUGUAG